ACCUACACUAUGCAACAUCCUGCAAGGAACAUCACAGCACAUCAGAUCAAGAAGCUUGGGGAUAGAGUUCUAUUGCUUAGUUUCCCUCUCUUUGGUUGCAAUCCUAAACUCAAAUCAACUGCAUUGGGAGAGCUUGUGAGUCCAGAGAAACCUUGGCAUGGAAUUCCUAGCCCAAGCACCUCAACACUGACACACACAUGCAACAUCAUUACAGCUGCAGGAACUCUCUAACCAGACCUGGGAUAGUGCUUCUAGACACUGGAGAUGGCUCAUGGCUGUGCAUGCAAGAAGGCCAUGGUUCAACCCCCCCGGGGCAGCACCCAAGGAGUUUGCAAGUAGCAGAGACAAAAGUUUAAGUUCUUCUGUUGCUAGAGGAAAAGCCACUAUAGCUGAACAAUUAAGUUCUAGACUCUAGAAAAAUGCAGUGACAAAACUUUGAUUUUGAGAAUGACGUGGAUGAGACAAGAUUCAAUUUGAUAUGGCUCCAUAAUGAACACGAAACGACAAGCUUGCUUUGCAAAGGUUCACAAUGUCAUUAAAAACUAUGUAGAUCUCUGAAGACUAUUCAAAUAUAAUUUGUUGACCCUCUUUCGUAUAUAUGGGUGCUAAAUGGAUACCUUUUCAAAAUCUCACAGGGUAUGACGUGAUUAGCAGCAUCUUAUUCCUUACAAAUUCUCUAUUUUUUAAAAAUAAAACUGAUCUCCUUGUUAUCAUUAUGAAGUGACUCAACACCAACUUCUCACCUUUUGUGAAAUUAUGCUUUUUAUUUGUACAUCCAUUUUCCUUGACAACCUCAAUAGAUGUGGGUGUAAAUAAUCAGAAAAGAAACUACAAAUCAUAAUGCCACAUCCCACAGGCUGUUUCAUUAUAACUGGUUUUUCAUUCAUGGAAAUAAAGAUGGUUUUAUCGCUAUCAAAAAGUGACAUAUUUAAACUUGCUGUCAACAAACCCUCACUUCAUUCUCCUUCUCAUCAAAAUUACACGCCAACAGAACUGGCAAACAUUAAUGGCUAAUUCUGAAAUAGCAAUACACUAAAUCUGUACCAAGUACCAAUUUCCACUUCACUCCAGCAGAUCUGCAACUGCAGAUCAAUUUUAAGGCCAAUUGGUAUUAAUCCUAGUCUUAUAAGAGUUUAUAAAAUUUAGACGCAACCCAUUUCAGCAUGUACUUAUGUCUUGGGUUGUAUUCAAAGUAGCACUAAGGUUAAUGUUCCAUUAGUGCAAAUAUUU